rnacentral:rRNA from 1 species
UACGUAGGUGGCAAGCGUUGUCCGGAUUUACUGGGCGUAAAGGGCGCGUAGGCGGCCACCGCAAGUCGACUGUGAAAUCUCCGGGCUUAACCCGGAAAGGUCAGCCGAUACUGCGGGCUAGAGUGGCAGAAGGGCAACUGGAAUUCUCGGUGUAGCGGAUGAAUGCGUAGAUAUCGAGAGGAACACCUGCGGCGAAGGCGGGUUGCUGGGCUGACACUGACGCUGAGGCGCGAAAGCUAGGGAGCGAACGGG